rnacentral:rRNA from 1 species
UACGUAGGUGGCAAGCGUUGUCCGGAAUUAUUGGGCGUAAAGCGCGCGCAGGUGGUUUCUUAAGUCUGAUGUGAAAGCCCACGGCUCAACCGUGGAGGGUCAUUGGAAACUGGGGAACUUGAGUGCAGGAGAGAAGAGUGGAAUUCCACGUGUAGCGGUGAAAUGCGUAGAGAUGUGGAGGAACACCAGUGGCGAAGGCGACUCUUUGGCCUGUAACUGACACUGAGGCGCGAAAGCAUGGGGAGCGAACAGG